rnacentral:tRNA from 1 species
GGCUUCGUGGUUUAGUGGUAUAACUCUCGCUUAGGGUGCGAGAGGUCCCGGGUUCGAUCCCCGGCGAAGCCC